rnacentral:rRNA from 1 species
AUUGAACGCUGGCGGCAGGCCUAACACAUGCAAGUCGAGCGCGAAAGUUCUUCGGAAUGAGUAAAAGCGGCGGACGGGCGAGUAAUGCAUGGGAAUCUGCCUGGUAGUGGGGGACAACGCUUCGAAAGGAACGCUAAUACCGCAUACGCCCUACGGGGGAAAGGGGGGAGUCUUCGGACCUCUCGCUAUCAGAUGAGCCCAUGUCAGAUUAGCUAGUUGGUGGGGUAAAGGCUCACCAAGGCGACGAUCCGUAACUGGUCUGAGAGGAUGAUCAGUCACACUGGAACUGAGACACGGUCCAGACUCCUACGGGAGGCAGCAGUGGGGAAUAUUGGACAAUGGGCGAAAGCCUGAUCCAGCCAUGCCGCGUGUGUGAAGAAGGCCUCGG